rnacentral:lncRNA from 1 species
UUUUUUUUUUUUAAUUUCCUGGGGCCACACCCGCAGCAUAUGGAGGUUCCCAAGCUAGGGGUCUAAUCAGAGCUGUAGCCACCCGUCUACACCACAGCCACAGCAAUACCAGAUCCUUAACCCAUUGAGCAAGGCCAGGGAUUGAACUUGCAACCUCAUGGUUCCUAGUCAAAUUCAUUAACCGUUAAGCCACAAUGGGAACUCCAACAAGCCUCUUUUUAAAAUGGAAAUAUUUUAUUAAAAAACGUUAUUGAAGUAUAGUUAAUUUACAAUGUUGUGCUUGUUUCAAGUGAACAGCAAAGUGAUUCAGUUACGUAUAUUUACUGAAUAUAUAUGCACAUGUAUAACUGAACAUACAUGUGUGUGUAUACACAUUAUCUUUUUCAGAUUUUUCAGAUUCUUUUCCCUUGUGGGUUUUAAAAAAAUACUUAAUACAGUUCCCUGUGCUAUACAGUAGGUCCUUGUUGUUUAUCUAUUUUGUGGGUAUCUGUUAAUCCCAAACUCCUAAAUCAUCCCCCACCCCUUGUGGGACUUCAUGUGGGAUGUCAAGGCCUCUUCAAAGAGAUAAAACUCAAAAAGCCUGGAAAUAAGAAUUACCAGACCCUUAUCAUCCCACCUGUCUCACUGUAAGUGUUCCAAUGUUCCUAAGGACCUCCCCACCCCAGCAACCUGGCUGCUCCUUCCUGCCCGCUACCAGGACAUGGGUGUGCCCACGCCUCACCCAGCCCCUAUAGGGGCAACAUACACCCCCAAACAACCAGCAAGUGUAUCAGAAGACCCAUCCUUCCCCAAAUGAGCAGUAAGUCUAUCCGAAGACCCCAUCAUUCCCCAACAACCAGCAGGUUUAUCAGAAGUCCCAUCCUUCCCCAACUGACUAGCAGGUGUAUCAGAAGACCCCAGCCUUCCCCAACCAGACAGCAGAUCAACAGGUGAGUGGCAAGACCUCUUCUUGCACACCAUUGUCUCUGGGCUACAAAAACAGACACCACCAUGUGCCCAGGGUUGGCUCUCCUUGAUUAUCGGGAAGUCAGCCUGCUGUGUUAACAGUGUCUCUUGCCUCAAUAAACUUGUCUUUUCUACACCUUGCUUUGAAUCCAGAAAAUUCUUUUUCCACCCACAUGCAGAGAACACGACACCCCUUUUCCCCUUUGGUAACCAUAUAUUUUGUUUUCUAUGUCUGUGAGUAUGUUUUCUGUUUUAUAAAGAAGUGCGUGUUUAUCAUAUUUAAAACGUCCUACAUAUAAGUGAUAUCAUGUAAUAUGUGUCUUUCUCCUUCUGACUUACUUCCCUUAGUAUGAUCAUCUCUAGGUGCUUCCACGUUGCUGCAAAUGGGAUUAUUUUGUUCCUUUUUAUGCCUGAGUCCUGUUCCUGUGUGUGUGUGUGUAUACACCACACUUCUUUAUCCGUUCAUCUAUCUGUAGACACCUGGGUUGCUUCCAUGUCUUGGUUAUUGUAAACUGCUGUGAACAUUAGGGUGCCUGGAUUUUUUUCAAAUUGAGAGUUUUCUCUGGAUAUAUGCCCAUGAGAGGGAGUGCUGGAUCAUAUGGUAAUCCUAUUUUUUAAAAUUAAAUUCUAAAUUUAGUUCUAUUUUUAUGGAACCUCCACCCUGUUUUCCAUAGUGGCUGCACCAAUUUACAUUCCCACCCACAGUGCAGUCAGGUUCCCUUUUCUCUACAUCCUCUCCAGCAUGUAUUACUUGGAGGCUUUUUGAUGAGAGCCAUUCUGACUGGUGUGAGGUGUUCCGCAGUUUUAAACCUAUGAGGAAGAACCAUUCCGCAGACUUGGAAACUUAUCCAAGUACAUGUCGGAGCACACAAACCAAUACCUACAGCACACACCACACACACAAAGAGCCUCAGCCAAGUAUCAGGAGAAAUAUCAGGUAUCAGGUGCCAAUCUUUCUCUUUUUAUUUCAAGGCCACCUGGCCCAUGUCACAAGGCGGGACGCAGGUCUGGAGAGAAUUCACACCCCCGUUCUGCCAGACAUGGGAUGUGUCUCAUUAGCUGCCUGAGAGCCAGCAAGUGGCAUUUGGAGGAUGCUGCAAGGAGCAUGCUAACACACUUUUAAACAGAAGCCUUUGUAGGGGACGUCGGGAGACAGAUAAAAAGACUGGAUUGUCAUCAGCGGUCUUAACAGGCAGAUCACAGAUCUGACAAAUGUGCCGAAGAUAAACGUGCAGUGCUCUGGUCCUGUGGGGGGUGUGGGGAGGGAUUAAUAAAUCAGGGACCAAAAUUCUGGAAACGAUGGGCCACUCUCCAUCAGAAGGAUGACGGUUCCUCCUUGAUGAUCGGCCUCCCUUUCUUGUAACUUUCUGCCACGGCAUCUUUUUUUAAAACUUGGAUCGAUUUCCAUCUUGACAGCUGCCUUUAGAGUUCUCUUUUUAGUCUGACCCUGUUUUACAGAAAAAGAUAGUUCUCUUUUCAUUUCUACUCCUUUAAUGUAAUCUGCUUGAAGUAUUGUGUUAGUUUCAUCCACGGUGGGUUCAGGAAAAAAAAAAAAAAAACAACAACAACAAAAAAACCCUCCACUUUGGGGCAAUUAUAGAGCAUUUCCCAUUCUUCAAGGAUUCAGCCCCUCGCUAUACCAGGGAAAAAGUGUUAUUUAUUCAGAUAACCCAGUCCCCAUAAAUCCAUGAGAGCAAAUUACUGUCAUAUCACUUUAGAGGGAAGAAAAUGAAAAAUCCAGAAUUCUCAGAUGAUGAUGUUUGAUUUUUAUCUUUCCUUUUAUGGCAGCACCAGAAGCAUAUCAAAAUUUCUAGGCCAGGGAUCAAAUCUGAGCCACAUCUGCAACCUAGACCACAGCGGGAAUGCCUAUGUUUGAAUUUUCACCCAAUGCUCAGUAGCUGAUCAAUAUCAGCUCAAACUGAGAAAAUGUAAGGCCUUUCCAAAAAAAAUUUUACCUCCAAAAGGAAAAAAAUAAAUUCAGGUCCUAGUAGAAAAAAAAUAUAUGGAUUUUAUUGAGAAAGAUAAAUCAGGUGAAGAGUU